UCGACUGUUCUCAUCAGGAUUAUGUUUACAGUUAAUUUACAGUUCUUUGUUCAUCGAACAUAGACAUUGGAACCACGCUGGAAGAUGACCGACAGUGCGCCGUCCGUAAAGGGAGGUGUGGGUCCAGCGCUCAUUCGUGACGCUGCUGCUUUUUUUCGACCCGUCGAUGAUCUUGCCUGCUCUGCGCCCCCUCGCUCGCUUUCUGCGGGCGUGGGUUUAAGAGUGCGAGCGGCGAGGAUGGACGCACAUUCUGACAGCUC
rfam:Linderina pennispora strain ATCC 12442 DL89scaffold_164, whole genome shotgun sequence.